rnacentral:rRNA from 1 species
CCUACGGGAGGCAGCAGUGAGGAAUCUUGGUCAAUGGGCGGGAGCCUGAACCAGCCAAGUCGCGUGAGGGAAGACGGUCCUAUGGAUUGUAAACCUCUUUAGGCGGGGAGCAAUGCCGGGCACGUGUGCCCGGAGGGAGAGUACCCGCAGCAUAAGCAUCGCCUAACUCCGUUCCAGCAGCCUCGGUAAUACGGAGGAUGCGAGCGUUAUCCGGAUGUAAUGGGUUGAAAGGGUGCGUAGGCGGAUUUUUAAGUCAGCGGUAAAAUGUCCGGGCUCAACCCGGGCCCGCCGUGGAAACUGGGGAUCUUGAGUGGGCGAGAAGUAUGCGGAAGGCGGGGGGUAGCGGUGAAAUGCACAGAUAUCACGCAGAACUCCGAUUGCGAAGGCAGCAUCCCGGCGCCCGACUGACGCUGAGGCACGAAAGCGUGGGGAUCGAACAGGAUUAGAUACCCUGGUAGUC